rnacentral:tRNA from 1 species
AGUUAUUUAGCUUAUAUAAAGCUGUGCUUUGAAAGCACAAGAAAGAGAAAUUUAAUAACUU